GGGAGUACAGGUCAGAGGUAGGGUAAAUGCUUAGCACGCAUGAGGUCCUGGGUUCAAUCUCCAGUACUUCUG
rnacentral:tRNA from 1 species